UAAAAAAAGGUAAGCUACUAAGAGCGAAUGGUGGAUGCCUUGACUGGUAAAGGCGAUGAAGGACGUACUAGACUGCGAUAAGCUACGGGGAGCUGUCAAGAAGCUUUGAUCCGUAGAUUUCCGAAUGGGGCAACCCAAUGUAUAGAGAUAUACAUUACCUAUAUAGGAGCGAACGAGGGGAAUUGAAACAUCUUAGUACCCUCAGGAAAAGAAAUCAAUAGAGAUUGCGUCAGUAGCGGCGAGCGAAAGCGCAAGAGGGCAAACCCAGUGCUUGCACUGGGGGUUGUAGGACUGCAAUGUGCAAGAGCUGAGUUUAGCAGAACAUUCUGGAAAGUAUAGCCAUAGAGGGUGAUAGUCCCGUAUGCGAAAAACAAAGCUUAGCUAGCAGUAUCCUGAGUAGGGCGGGACACGAGGAAUCCUGUCUGAAUCCGGGUCGACCACGAUCCAACCCUAAAUACUAAUACCAGAUCGAUAGUGCACAAGUACCGUGAGGGAAAGGUGAAAAGAACUGAGGUGAUCAGAGUGAAAUAGAACCUGAAACCAUUUGCUUACAAUCAUUCAGAGCACUAUGUAGCAAUACAGUGUGAUGGACUGCCUUUUGCAUAAUGAGCCUGCGAGUUGUGGUGUCUGGCAAGGUUAAGCAAACGCGAAGCCGUAGCGAAAGCGAGUCUGAAUAGGGCGCUUAGUCAGAUGCUGCAGACCCGAAACGAAGUGAUCUAUCCAUGAGCAAGUUGAAGCUAGUGUAAGAACUAGUGGAGGACUGAACCCAUAGGCGUUGAAAAGCCCCGGGAUGACUUGUGGAUAGGGGUGAAAGGCCAAUCAAACUUCGUGAUAGCUGGUUCUCUCCGAAAUAUAUUUAGGUAUAGCGUUGUGUCGUAAUAUAAGGGGGUAGAGCACUGAAUGGGCUAGGGCAUACACCAAUGUACCAAACCCUAUCAAACUCCGAAUACCUUAUAUGUAAUCACAGCAGUCAGGCGGCGAGUGAUAAAAUCCGUCGUCAAGAGGGAAACAACCCAGACUACCAGCUAAGGUCCCUAAAUCUUACUUAAGUGGAAAACGAUGUGAAGUUACUUAAACAACCAGGAGGUUGGCUUAGAAGCAGCCAUCCUUUAAAGAAAGCGUAAUAGCUCACUGGUCUAGUGAUUUUGCGCGGAAAAUAUAACGGGGCUAAAGUAAGUACCGAAGCUGUAGACUUGCACACAACUUAGAUUAUUUAAGUUUAGAAUAUGAGAAACUAAGUUAUAUGUUUAGUUAUAUUUUUACUGAUUUUUAUAGAGUAAAGAUAGAAAUAAAACUUAGUAAAAUCAGUAAAAAUAUUCUUAGGCUAAAGUUAAGUAGUUUAAGUUGUGUGCAAGUGGUAGGAGAGCGUUCUAUUUGCGUCGAAGGUAUACCGGUAAGGAGUGCUGGAGCGAAUAGAAGUGAGCAUGCAGGCAUGAGUAGCGAUAAUUAAUGUGAGAAUCAUUAACGCCGUAAACCCAAGGUUUCCUACGCGAUGCUCGUCAUCGUAGGGUUAGUCGGGUCCUAAGUCGAGUCCGAAAGGGGUAGACGAUGGCAAAUUGGUUAAUAUUCCAAUACCAACAUUAGUGUGCGAUGGAAGGACGCUUAGGGCUAAGGGGGCUAGCGGAUGGAAGUGCUAGUCUAAGGUUGUAGGAGGUUAUACAGGCAAAUCCGUAUAACAAUACUCCGAGAACUGAAAGGCUUUUUGAAGUCUUCGGAUGGAUAGAAGAACCCCUGAUGCCGUCGAGCCAAGAAAAGUUUCUAAGUUUAGCUAAUGUUGCCCGUACCGUAAACCGACACAGGUGGGUGGGAUGAGUAUUCUAAGGCGCGUGGAAGAACUCUCUUUAAGGAACUCUGCAAAAUAGCACCGUAUCUUCGGUAUAAGGUGUGGUUAGCUUCGUACUAGGAUUUACUCCGAAAGCGAAGAAACUUACAACAAAGAGUCCCUCCCGACUGUUUACCAAAAACACAGCACUCUGCUAACUCGUAAGAGGAUGUAUAGGGUGUGACGCCUGCCCGGUGCUCGAAGGUUAAUUGAUGGGGUUAGCAUUAGCGAAGCUCUUGAUCGAAGCCCGAGUAAACGGCGGCCGUAACUAUAACGGUCCUAAGGUAGCGA
rnacentral:rRNA from 1 species